rnacentral:misc_RNA from 1 species
UCUCCGUAGGUGAACCUGCGGAGGGAUCAUUACAAGUGACCCCGGUCUUACCACCGGGAUGUUCAUAACCCUUUGUUGUCCGACUCUGUUGCCUCCGGGGCGACCCUGCCUUCGGGCGGGGGCUCCGGGUGGACACUUCAAACUCUUGCGUAACUUUGCAGUCUGAGUAAACUUAAUUAAUAAAUUAAAACUUUCAACAACGGAUCUCUUGGUUCUG